rnacentral:misc_RNA from 1 species
GCGAAGAAAUGCAGUUGUAUAGUGCCAUUCGUAGAGGAAAUUGGUGGGCAGUGAAACUUACGGGCUUUAAGUGUUAUUUUUGUAGAAUUAUGCAGUUAGUUGAAUAUUUUAUGUGGAAUUGGUAGAGCAAGAAUGACUGAUAUGAUUUUAACUGGUCCUGAUGCUCGAAAGACAUCUUUUAAAGAUGAUGAUGAGUCGUUGCCUGUAGCACCAAAACGUGCAAGAACUUCAGAGGAUUUUUAUUUGUUCUGCAAAUUUAUUUUGGAGUAUGAAAACUAUGAAGAUUUCAGGGAAGAAUCAGACCAACAGAUAAUAAAAAACUACACUUCAUCACCACUUGGAUCUGGAAUUGAUCAACGUAGUGGAAGGCAGAAAGUCUCUGCAACUCGGGCCAGUAGUUCUAGACAUGGUGUUUCAGCGUAUAGUUCAGAUAAGAUUAAUGACUAUUCAGUUACUGACUCGAGAUCAAAUACAUCUCGGUCACCAAGUGAUGAAUCUGGAGCCAGCUCUGAGGAUAGCCAUGGACGUGAAAGGUUUCCUUCAAGAUCAAGUAAAUCCUCUUUGUCCACCAGUGACUCAGGUGAUGAGGAGGCCAGCUCUGCCUCAGCCCAAGACCGGAUGCGGAAAGGAAUUCAUUUGUCGGUAACCAGUCCUAAGAUUGGUUUGCUGCAGCUCUCCGCCCUAUACCCGGGCUGCUGAAACAUGUCACAUGAGAGCUUGCGUGUAGGUGGCUACACUGUGAUUGUGAGGUCACAGAAACUGCUACCACACACGCCCACAGCUGAUAGCUCUGAAGUAUGUUUUACACAUGUAGGCUACAAUCACCGUGCAUAUAAGUCACGGAAUAAUAAAGUAUAUACAAAAGCUCCUAUGGGCUGAUAACAUGCUUCUGUAGGAGACCUUAUGCAGGCAGACCUAUGAUCGAGUGUUCAAAGUGCCUUACAUGGAUGCAUCUAUCUUGUGUGAAGAUUAAGAAGUCAAAUAUUCCAG